UCCUAUUUUAGGUAAAAAAUGGCUUCCUUAAUAUUCCACACGCUGAUAAUAAUAUUCUUCCAAACCGCCUUCGUGCUGGUGCUCUCUUGGUGCACACUCAGCUGCCGCUUCCCCCCCUCCCCCUCCGAGCUGCACGAGAUCACGCUUAUGAAGUUCCUCUAUUUAUACGACCCGGUGGCCUGCGGGAGAGUGGAGUCCUACAACUUCACCAGUACCGCCGUCAAUCGCACCACCAUGUCGAGUAUUAUCUGGCCGGCGAAGAACGUCGUUGCCGCUGGCUUUCGAUGGAAGCUGAAAUUCUCCCUCACCCUACACAUGCUCUGGCUGUCUCUGGGCUUGGCUUCGGCACUGUACGGUCGGCAUCUCCUCGGCCUGUACCUGACGGUGCUACCGUUUACCGCUGCCGGGGCGGCGCUGCUGGUGUCUGAUAUCUAUAUUGUCAUUACGUAUCUCAUGGAUAUUCCCUAUACGAGCACUGAAGAGUCAAUAAUCAAGUACAUCGGUGCGGGCGAGGAGUACCUGGGGGAACUCCCCCCGGCGUUAUCCGCUGACGACACCGACACCUCGUGGGUGCCGCUGCUGUUCGCGUACAUGAGCUCGCGCGCCGUGGUGCUGUGGAUCAUAAACUAUUGGCUCGUGCUGGAUAACUUCACGGAGGGCUUGGCGGCUCACCGUGCUAUUAAAAAGGCAGCAAUGGAACCCAAGAGAAGGCGAAGAGAGAGGCAGUACAGAUAAAGUGCUCCCUUCGGCCCUGUCUCCAGGAUGCAGUAUUUACUUCGCAAUGCAAUGGCGUUUACUGCGCAGUGCUGCGUGAGUCGUGAGGCAAAAGGGGCGCAAGGCAAAAGGAGCAGGGGCAAAAAGGGAAAAAUGCCAGCUGGUAAUUAAUGAACUCUGACGUCAUCGAUCCAGACCGUGCCGAAGCUUUCACAUCAUAAAUUUCGCCAAUUUCGCUUAGAUUGAAAAUGCUAUUACAAUUUCCUAAAAUAUCUAUAUAUAUAGAUAAUUUGGAGUAAAUUUUCUGAUAGUAA